rnacentral:rRNA from 1 species
AGCUCCAAUAGCGUAUAUUAAAUUUGUUGCAGUUAAAAAGCUCGUAGUUGCAUUUUGGGAGCGAGGGCCACUGGUCCGCCGGGAUGGUGUGCACCGUGGUCCCGCUUCUUUCCUUCGCAUUGCGGUGUGCGGGUGAUUUGUUUUGCUCGUACGUCAAACCGUAUGCGAUCGUUUACUUUGAAAAAAGGAGAGUGUUCAAAGCAGGCAGAAUUUCAGCCGUUGAAUCUUCUAGCAUGGGAUAAUAGAAUAGGACUUGUUUCUUAUUUUGUUGGUUUUCAAGAAAUAAGUAAUGAUUAACAGGGAUAGUUGGGGGUCUUAGUAUUUUCGAGUCAGAGGUGAAAUUCUUGGAUUUCGGAAAGACUAACUUCUGCGAAAGCAUUGACCAAGGAUGUUUUCAUUA